AAAGGGAAUAAAUGCAGGCUGCCCCUGCCGUAUGUGGCAACCGACUGAAGUGGGUUUGUGUGAUGUGGAAGGUUUGUUCUUUUUGUUUUGCCAGUAAUUUUUGUUGCUGUUGGUUGAGUGGGUCCUUGCUAACUUUAUGAGCUGUAACACUCACCAUGAAGGUCUGCAGCUUCACUCCUGAAGCUGGCAAGACCACGAACCCACCAGAAGGAAGAAAUUCGGGACAUAUCUGAACAUCAGAGGGAGCAAACUGUGGACCCGCCAUUUUUAAGAAUUGUAACACUCACUGCGAGGGUCCGCAGUGUGUUCUUGAAGUCUGGGAGACCAAGAACCCACCAAUUCGGGACACAUUGAUACCACUCUGGGACAAUAAGAGGAACUAGCAUUGUUCUGAGACCAAACUGUGGACUUCUAGAGUGUUCUGCUACAGUACAUGUGGGAGAUGAUUGUGAAAGUGUUUAUCUUACCCUGAGAAAACCUGAGAAAAGAAAAUCUUUCUAAAUGACCUAGAGAAACACACAUAACUGAAAAAAUGUAUAAAUAAUAAUAUCUCUACCUAUAUAUGUUAAAAUAUAUUCUAGACUUCUAGAGUGUUCUGCUGCAGCAUAUGUGGGAGUUGAUUGUGAAAGUGUUUAUCUUACCCUGAGAAAAACUGAGAAAAGAAAAUCUAUCUAAAUGACCUACAGAAACACACAUAACUGAAAAAAAUAUAUAAAUAAUAAUAUCUCUGCCUAUAUAUGUUAAAAUGUAUUCUACCUAUGAUUAUCAGAUGACAGUUGGCAUCAAGUAUGCUGGACAACUGGCAUGAAGAUAUGACUUUUUUUUCUGAAAUAUUUUUAGAAUCUUCCAGUUUUUACAAACUCAAACCUAAGCCCAAAAUGUACAUUUGCAUUUGCUGUAUUUAAACCUUAGGAAAAUUUUCCAUCUUGUUGAAUUCAUGUCCAUGUUUUACUUCCAUGCUUUUCUAAGAACUAAAGGGACCACUAUUUUAGGGUUUCUAAAUGGAAUUAAUUUGCGUAUCUGAAACACAUCUCUGCAUAUUUCUCUAGAAAAACCACGUAGGGUACCCUAUUUGCUAUGUAUGCAGAAGAACUGUGGAAUGUGGAAUGAAAGAAAUUAAAGAUUUCCACUGUAUA